UACGUAGGGGGCAAGCGUUGUCCGGAAUCAUUGGGCGUAAAGAGCGUGUAGGCGGUCCGUUAAGUCGGCUGUGAAAGUCCAAGGCUCAACCUUGGGAUGCCGGUCGAUACUGCCGGACUAGAGUUCGGAAGAGGCGAGUGGAAUUCCCGGUGUAGCGGUGAAAUGCGCAGAUAUCGGGAGGAACACCUAUGGCGAAGGCAGCUCGCUGGGACGUUACUGACGCUGAGGCGCGACAGCGUGGGGAGCAAACAGG
rnacentral:rRNA from 1 species